CCUACGGGAGGCUGCAGUGAGGACUAUUGGUCAAUGGACGCAAGUCUGAACCAGCCAUGCCGCGUGCAGGAAGACGGUCUUCGGAUUGUAAACUGUUGUCGCAGGGGAAGAAGACAGUGACGGUACCCUGUGAGAAAGUCACGGCUAACUACGUGCCAGCAGCCGCGGUAAUACGUAGGUGACAAGCGUUGUCCGGCUUUACUGGGUGUAAAGGGCGCGUAGGCGGGAUAGCAAGUCAGUCGUGAAAUGCCGAGGCUUAACCUCGGAGCUGCGAUUGAAACUGUUAUUCUUGAGUAUCGGAGAGGAAAGCGGAAUUCCUAGUGUAGCGGUGAAAUGCGUAGAUAUUAGGAGGAACACCAGUGGCGAAGGCGGCUUUCUGGACGACAACUGACGCUGAGGCGCGAAAGUGUGGGGAGCAAACAGGAUUAGAUACCCUAGUAGUC
rnacentral:rRNA from 1 species